rnacentral:rRNA from 1 species
GGGGGGGGGGGGGGGGGGGGCGGGCGCGGGCGGGGGGGGCGGCGGCGCGGGGAGAGCGUGCUCUUGCGGGUGGCGAGUGGCGGACGGGUGAGGAAUACAUCGGAAUCUACUUUUUCGGGGGGGAUAACGGAGGGAGCCUUACGCUAAUACCGCAUACGACCUACGGGUGAAAGCAGGGGAUCUUCGGACCUUGCGCGAUUGAAUGAGCCGAUGUCGGAUUAGCUAGUUGGCGGGGUAAAGGCCCACCAAGGCGACGAUCCGUAGCUGGUCUGAGCGGAUGAUCAGCCACACUGGAACUGAGACACGGUCCAGACUCCUACGGGAGGCAGCAGUGGGGAAUAUUGGACAAUGGGCGCAAGCCUGAUCCAGCCAUACCGCGUGGGUGAAGAAGGCCUUCGGGUUGUAAAGCCCUUUUGUUGGGAAAGAAAAGCAGCAGGUUAAUACCCCGCUGUUCUGACGGUACCCAAAGAAUAAGCACCGGCUAACUUCGUG